GCCUGGUCCUUUGUCCGCAAACUACGCCUGGCGACGCGUCCUCAAAACCGCCCAGCACAAUCAGCACACCGCCCGCUCCCACCCUUCCCGCACCCAACCCUCUCUCUCCUCUCCCCCUCGUAUCCCUGCCCUCCUCCAUCGCAUCCUAACCCGCCGCCGGAUCUCCGGUGAUCAACGUUUCCUCGGUCGUCACCGCCUCCACCGUGCGGAUCCGCUCUCCAUCGCUUGGAUCCGGCCAUCAUCGCCCCACCCACGAUUUUUUCCCUGUCCUCCACCUGCAGGGAAUCCCUCCUAGGCUGGGCUGCUCGAAACACGACUCGGUCGUCCUCCUCCGAGCCGUGAAGACGCCGCCCAUGCCAAAUCACCUCGCCGCCGGUACUCAGCCCCUCCACCUCGCCACCCAUGUCUCCCUCGACUCCCCAGCCUCGCCGCAGCUCCGGCUCCUCCUCCCGGCUGACUUCCUCCUGCAACACUGCAACCCCGCACCUCCAUUAAGGCCACGUCGCGCCUAACCCUAGCUGCACGCCUAAUUCUGGACCUCGCCGGACCAGCCGGGGCCGUUGAGGGAGGGCUCUACACGCCAUGACGCGAUGGCGACCCACGCAGGGGAAGAGCCCACCGCCUGACGCGGGCAGGAGCUUGCCUGGGGCCGGUGGCCGGGCGAUCCGGCGCCCUACUUCCAUGCGUUCCUCGGCCCUGGUGAGCUCAUCGAGAACAAGACCGCCGGUGAGACCUUCCAGCCCUUGGCUUCACAUCAUUCCUGAUGUAAAUAGGAGCCAUUUUGCACCGCAUCUAAUAUUUACGGUUGGAUCCAACAAUUGGAAUCCUAGACUGAGCGAUGUACGUCAACUCCCGUGGGAUCUUUGUCAGUUGUAUCAUACAAGGCUAAUGUUUUUCACCAUCUUCUAUUGGAAAUCAUCAUUGGGCAUUAACCGCAGAAAUUAGUUGCUUUGUAAACUGUGGGCUGGGUAAAGCGAUGCCCUGUGCGCCUGCGUGGUGUGAUCUACAUUUUUCUAGAUGAAGCUCAGGGUAUCAGUAAGUUUCAUAUGUACGUACCAGUGUGUUCUUUACCUUUUAUUUUUAUUUUAUUACAUUGAGGUUUAUCUUUUCUAGAUUGGCAUGGGGUUUAGAACUUCAGAUUCAGUGGUUUCACAUAUUUUGUCCUUGAAACAGUGUGACAUGUUAUUUAUCUGAAAUUCAUAAUAAUAUCGAAGUUUCAGGGACAAUACAGCGGGCUUUAUAUGUAUUUACUUUGUAGAUAGAUGAAUGUUCUAACAGGGAGUACUUUGUUGGUCUGAACAUUAAUAAAAGAUAUAAAACCACCAUGGAUGUUGGUACUGUGAUUUAUGUAUAGACUAGCUAAAUAUCCGUGCACUGCUACAAAGUAAUCAGUUAUGUAACUUCACGAGCACGCGUGUCCAGUGAAUACACAUGGACGUUUAAACUGCACAACUGCUCCUUUUUCAGCAACCAGCAUUAAUAGGAUGGUGCAAGGCCAAGACCCCAUCAAGGAUAUAUGUACUUUUAAUGAGGGUUCAACAUUCCUCUUCUGCCACUUCUAACCCACAAUCAGGUACACUGAGGUAUAUACUACCUGGAACUCACCACGACGAGUAUGUCGUUCUAGAUUUCCUUCUGAAGUUAUAUACAAAGAUGGUAAAUGAUCACACCCACAAUAUCACUUUUUGGAAAGUAGCCAGCAAUAGUUCUUUCCAUUAGAAAAAAUGAAGCAAAUUGAUUCAUUAACUAAAAUAUAGAAUGGGUGCUCACAAUGGCUAAUGCAAACCUGAAAGCAAUAAUAAACGUUGUGGAAUGCAUGAUCUUUAAGAAAAAGUGUGAAUGCAGACUAUACACUUCCACAAUAGUACAUCUGGCAUCCUCUGAGACUAAAGUAAUAUAUGGUUGACAAAAAAGAAAUUUCCGUGGUCUCACGAAUAUGAUAAUAAUAUAGCUCUGAAGUAAGAUAAAUAAAGUUUAUCUUGCAGUGCUAGCAGUGACCCCCGUUUCGCCUCAAAUGUGUGUGAGAGAUAUUUGGAAUUUAUCCUAGAGGUAUUGUGUAAGCGUAGAUGCUUCUCUCUACGUCAGAUCUUUUUGCUUGUGGGAUGAGAUUCCUUACACUCAUAAGGUAUUCAGUUGCACAUGUAAUCUAGAGGAGAAAACCACUAAAAAUUACAAUAAUUGUUGCAGUUAUCAAUGUCGUACAAUUAAGCAAUGCUUGCUCAACAUUUGUAUUAUGUCAGGCAUAACCAGUCAGUGGAUUGAUGUGUAAUAUUAUAGCAUUGUGAUUUGUGGUGCAUUAGUGCUAAUAGUCAUUGCUUAUUUAGUUAGUAGAAAUUUUUGUUAACUGCUCAAUAUCAGUUCUACUCAACAUGCUUGGAGAUUAGUGGAAAAUGGCCUGACUGUUGGGUCUGAACUACACCGAAGGAAAAUAAAACCUGAUGUGUUUGUGUUGCAUGUGGGCGUGAUGAAAGUCUGGCGCAUCGGUUCUGAGAGUGCCCUCACUCAAAUUUUGUUUGGAAGGAGCUUCAAUCGUUAUUGGGCCCCUUGGAUAAACCCCAAAGCGGAUGAGGAAUCACAGUGAGUUGUGCUGGUGGCUCCUGAAUUUCUUUGGCUAAUAGAAGAAGAUGAUGGCUUGUGGAUGGUAAAACAGAGGCAUUGUUAGUCGAUGCCUGUAAUGUAGCCUGUCUUGCACGCACAGAUGGGCCUGAGCAUUGACAAGCAGAGGAUGUUUAAUUUGUUGGGUCAGAUUAUUUUAUAUAAUCUUCCCUAUGAUGCCUUCAGGCUUCAUGGCUAAAUUUUGUUCUCUGUUUUGCAGAUAUUUUCCAUAUGCGGCUAUGCAGGUGAUGGUUUUAUUUUUUUCUUAUUUACAAAACAUUCCACUAUCGACAUGCAUAUGUCUAAUCCACUUAUGUCAUGGAUCCUGAGUAGUCAUCAUAUGAAUAAAUUUGUGGAAUCGCUACAGUCACUUGUUUAAGCUGCUAUUUCCAACUCCAUGUUUGUCAAUACUAUGUAGAAUCUUUUGUUACAAACAAUUAUCGUGUGGUUUUAAAACUUUUUUUUAGAAUGGCCAGGGGAUAUGUGGGGCAACUGAAAACAAAAUAUUACAAGUUAGCUAAUAUUGUGCCAUAGUAUUUUGGGCAUGUCAUAAAGUAUGAGUUAACUGAUAUAAAGAAGUGCAGGAUUUAAGUGGACCAAAAAUAUUAGGAUAACUCCUUGUUGGAUAGUUACAUGAUAAUAUAAAUAUCAACAAAUAACUUUUCUCUUCAUGUCAGUUCUAAAGACAGGUUGUGUGUAAGACCGGUUACUUUCUCUGUCAUCGUUUCGCUGAAGACGGUGGUUACAUGUUUCUUCAAUUUAGAAAAGUGAGGGCAGUUUAGAAAAGUAAGGGUUCAACAUUUAGAAUAUCCAUUUCAUUAUGCUGUUACUUCAUUAUGCUGCACAUUUAUAUCUCCAAAUUCAGCAUAUCUUGAUGUCCCAAACUAUACACGAUGAAUCAAAAAGUAGUGCUUUGUUGGAGUUUCAUGAAAAGCCAUCAUGCCAUUUUUCAAGGAAGCUUUGGAUAUAUUGGGCUGACCAAUGGAUGAGUAUAUUCUUGUUUGGUCAUUUGAACUGAUAUUUCCAUGUUUAUAUAUAUUCAUUGACUUCACAUUGUUGCCAAAAAAACAUUUUAUGGUAAAAGCACGUUCUUGAAAACUACCAUUUGGUAGAUGUGCAUUGCACCUGUGUGUUCAUUGCACCUGUGUGAUAUACUAAUAAUCUUUUCUGAACUACGAGUUCCAAUAAUAGGGAACUAGGGAAGGUUAUGUCUCAGAAAUAUGGGAGAUAAGAACUGAAGAAGCGAUACCUUAGUUUGGUAUGAUGCAAUGAGAAGAUUACAAUGUUUGAGAGGCUCAGAGAGUACCAAGCCACAUGUGCAAUGUUAGUGGAUUACAGGUCGGAAGAACAAGGCUAUUCAGAGUUUAGACUCCAUGUGCAUGUCUGCUGCUGCUAGAUGAUUUUGCUUGUCACAGGACUGUUUAUGACUGACAAGCCAAGGCUUCGGUAAUUGACGGAGCUAUUCUGACCUCAUUUUCUAUAAAAACAAUUUCCACAUGACACCAACAAGCAGGAUUUGCUUUGUUAUGUUUUUCUCGGUACAAUUAAAACUUCUUGUUAUGGCUUCAUGACAAUGGAGUGGUGAAAUGCCCAUCCAGGUUUGCAAAUUCUCUAGAUAGAUCAAAAUCAAUAGAUGGUUAACAACUUCAUGUAAUAGCUUCGAGCUAGCUGAUGAAGACAUCUAGAUGAUUAGCUAGAGAACAUCCAUCAGUGUAUGGUUAACAACUUCAUGUAAUAUUGACUUCGUAUAAAUUAGCCUUUUGUCGGUCCGAUGAUUACCAACACUACUUAUUAAGUAAUAUAUCCCAUGCGAUUCUUUUUGGUACUAAUUUUAAGCUUAGGUCAAGUUGAUUUAUCAUUGAGUAGGUCAAGCUGAUUUAUCAUUGAGCAUGUCUGCAUAAGGUUCAUAUCAUGGAUGUUUUGUGAUCGUGGGUCUACAAGUGUGUAAAUAUCUUAAGCCUAGAGACGGUGAUUUUAUGAUGGAAGUAUGUUGAAUACCAAAUAAUUUCUUAAUAUAUAGUUAUUUUGUUUAUAAAUUGUAUUAUAUAUAUAUAUAUUGGUAGGUAGAUGUAUUACUUUUUUUUGGACUACGUCUAUAAGUGCAUAUUUUUUGAAUUUUCUUGAUAUUUAGAUAUUACAUAUUUCUUAUUUAUAAAUAAACUUAUGCUUUUUGUGCAUUAGUGAAUACGCACAGAUAAUUGAACUCAUAGUUGUGGAGCCUUGUUGCACCAACAGUGUUCUAACACUGAUUAGGACAUGUGAAAGAAGAAAGAAAAAGACCACUGCUACUUGAUGUGCAUGAUAAGAAUUGAGGAGAAGAAGAAUAUAUACAUUGUCCAUGAGAAUACUAAAAGUAUAUGUUAUAUAUAUAUAUAUAUGCCCAUCAGUAGUUUCUUCCCCGCAUACAUAAAAAGGCUGAUCUGCUCGUCAUGGGAUGUUGGGAAUUUGGACUUGUCAGAAGGUAACAGAAUCGGCACUAUCUUCUGUAGUUCUUCUACUGUCAGCUGAACUUCCUCUUGUUAUUGACGCUGGCUUGCUGCCUGGGCAUAUAGGAACUUUAAAAUUCAGGUUCCAAAACUGUUCUCUCCUCAGCAUGUAUUAUGAAAUUUAUUCUUUCCAAGUUCGAUCACAGAGGUCACUUGUGUAGCCUAGACGAAAUAUGAAGCAACUAUAACAUCCAGUCUGCGGCUCAUGAAAUUUUGCAUCACUGAUUAUUGGGUUUGAUUUUCAGACAUGGAUGUAAUGACUAAUGACGAUGAUGGUGAGAGUUUUAGAAAGUGUCAAUUAUUUUUGCCUUCUAUUUUGUAUUUAAUUAUUGUGUUUUUCUUUACUGAUGAAUACAUGUUCUAUUUCCUUUCAUGUAAUUUAGUCUGAUUCCUAAGGUUGUGGUUGGCACCUAUAUGAGCACAAGGAGCAUGAUGUGUUCUGUUUCUGGAUUGCAUAGCAACAAUUACAUCUUAGCCAGAUUUCUAGAUUGGUGUUCAAAAGCUGCACAAGUGUACAUUCACUUUUGACGUGGAAGUUUGGCUUCUUCGAGAAUGUAGAAAAUGUCCUUUACUAUGCAUAGCAACAAUUACAUCUUGGCCAGAUUUCUAGAUUGGUGUUCAAAAGAUACACAAGUGUACAUUCACUUUUGAUGUGAAGUUUGGCUUCUUCGGCAGUGUAGAAACCGUCCUUUACUAGAGCAUCUCAAAAUACAUAAUCAUCUGCCAUAUUAAUUUCCGAGUUACAUAAUUCUUUGUACUAGGAGAUAAUUAUGGUUUGGAAGUUAGUAUGUUUAUCUUAAA